rnacentral:rRNA from 1 species
CUGCGAAUGGCUCAUUAAAUCAGUUAUCGUUUAUUUGAUAGUACCUUACUACUUGGAUAACCGUGGUAAUUCUAGAGCUAAUACAUGCUAAAAACCCCGACUUCGGGAGGGGUGUAUUUAUUAGAUAAAAAACCAAUGCCCUUCGGGGCUCUUUGGUGAUUCAUGAUAACUUAACGGAUCGCAUGGCCUUGCGCCGGCGACGGUUCAUUCAAAUUUCUGCCCUAUCAACUUUCGAUGGUAAGGUAUUGGCUUACCAUGGUUUCAACGGGUAACGGGGAAUUAGGGUUCGAUUCCGGAGAGGGAGCCUGAGAAACGGCUACCACAUCCAAGGAAGGCAGCAGGCGCGCAAAUUACCCAAUCCCGACUCGGGGAGGUAGUGACAAUAAAUACUGAUACAGGGCUCUUUUGGGUCUUGUAAUCGGAAUGAGUACAAUUUAAACCCCUUAACGAGGAACAAUUGGAGGGCAAGUCUGGUGCCAGCAGCCGCGGUAAUUCCAGCUCCAAUAGCGUAUAUUAAAGUUGUUGCAGUUAAAAAGCUCGUAGUUGAACCUUGGGCCUGGCUGGCCGGUCCGCCUCACCGCGUGUACUGGUCCGGCCGGGCCUUUCCUUCUGGAGAGCCGCAUGCCCUUCACUGGGUGUGUCGGGGAACCAGGACUUUUACUUUGAAAAAAUUAGAGUGUUCAAAGCAGGCCUUUGCUCGAAUACGUUAGCAUGGAAUAAUAGAAUAGGAUGUGCGGUCCUAUUUUGUUGGUUUCUAGGACCGCCGUAAUGAUUAAUAGGGAUAGUCGGGGGCAUCAGUAUUCAAUUGUCAGAGGUGAAAUUCUUGGAUUUAUUGAAGACUAACUACUGCGAAAGCAUUUGCCAAGGAUGUUUUCAUUAAUCAGUGAACGAAAGUUAGGGGAUCGAAGACGAUCAGAUACCGUCGUAGUCUUAACCGUAAACUAUGCCGACUAGGGAUCGGGCGAUGUUUCUAUCUUGACUCGCUCGGCACCUUACGAGAAAUCAUAAG